UACGUUGGUGGCAAGCGUUAUCCGGAAUUAUUGGGCGUAAAGAGCGCGCAGGUGGUUAAUUAAGUCUGAUGUGAAAGCCCACGGCUUAACCGUGGAGGGUCAUUGGAAACUGGUUGACUUGAGUGCAGAAGAGGGAAGUGGAAUUCCAUGUGUAGCGGUGAAAUGCGUAGAGAUAUGGAGGAACACCAGUGGCGAAGGCGGCUUCCUGGUCUGUAACUGACACUGAGGCGCGAAAGCGUGGGGAGCAAACAGG
rnacentral:rRNA from 1 species